rnacentral:rRNA from 1 species
GAGUUUGAUCCUGGCUCAGGAUGAGCGCUGGCGGCAUGCUUAACACAUGCAAGUCGAACGGGAAGUGGUGUUUCCAGUGGCGAACGGGUGAGUAACGCGUAAGAACCUGCCCUUGGGAGGGGAACAACAACUGGAAACGGUUGCUAAUACCCCGUAGGCUGAGGAGCAAAAGGAGAAAUCCGCCCAAGGAGGGGCUCGCGUCUGAUUAGCUAGUUGGUGAGGCAAUAGCUUACCAAGGCGAUGAUCAGUAGCUGGUCCGAGAGGAUGAUCAGCCACACUGGGACUGAGAACGGUCCAUACUCCUACGGGAGGCAGCAGUAGGGAAUUUUCGGCAAUGGGGGGAACCCUGACCGAGCAACGCCGCGUGAACGAAGAAGUUAUUCGUAAUGUAAAGUUCUUUUAUCAGGGAAGAAAGAGGAAUUUGACGGUACCUGAGGAAUAAGCUCCGGCUAACUACGUG